UGUGGGAUUGACAUGUCAGUGGAAUGUUGGUUCGGAUGGUGAGUAACAAAAUCAGGUUUGAUAUCUAACUAAUUGACAGGGUUUUCGAUCUAAUAAUGUAUAUUAUUUUACCUUGUAACUUAACUGACAUUAGCUGUUUGUCACGUGUAUUUUAAGCAGGAGUAAAGAGUUAGCACAUGGGAGAUACGGUAGCUAAGCUAACUGUCUUGCCCUGUAAGUUUGAGCACACUCACUUUUAAACAGGGUCAUAACUAACGUUAACUUACCUUCAACAUUAACCUAAUUUUAUUAUGUCUUGUAGAAAGGAAACAUUAGCUAGCUGGUUAGCCAUGUUUUGAACGUCAUCUGUUAGCUAGCUUUUGUCAGUGCUAACGGCUCUCCUGUCCUGCUGUUUCCUCACCGCGUUACUGCUGUGCUGGAAAUUGUGGAAACUGAAGACCGCUGGUGAAUGAAGUUGUAAGGGGACAUAAUGAAGCUGAGGUCUUGAAUGACAUCUAUUUAAGGUCAAGUGCUCGUGAGACCUCAGGACUUUACCAGAGGUAUUUCUUGGGCCCACAGACAGACAAGCUCAAAGUUAAAGAGGCUGCAUGGAUAUAUCAACCAAUAAGUACAUUCAUUAGAAAACCUAUUGACUUUGAGUGGAUGUCAUUGUAGACAUGCUGUAACAGGGAAGUGCAGACUUGCAUGUAGCACAAGAUUUCCUCUUUUGGUGUUUUGUCAAAAUGAGAAGUUUGAAGUUCAUAUAGGGUUGUUUUUGUGUGUUUGUUUCUCAAUUUCACCAUUCAGUUUUCUUGAAUGAACCCUGAAUGAUAAACUGGCAGUUCCUAAACCCCUUGGAUUGCCAUACUCCAUGAAAUCACAGUAUACUGUAGCUGUCUGGAUAGACAGUACAAGCAACUUUUUGAAAUUAGAGGUUGUCAUUUGAUUCAGUGCUCAUUUUUAAAAAAAUCUUUAAUAUAGGGUGAUAGUGAGGCUCAGCUUCAGUUUCAGCCAGUGUUUACUGAUAGUAAAAGAUGGAACAGGAUGAAGAAAAACUACUAAAAUAUUAUUGGGGAUACUAGCUAAUUCUUCCUUUUUCAGUUAUUUAUAUGCUUUUCUGAUGCUUAUUUGUGUCUUUAACAAAUAGUUCAGGCUCAGUAGCAGAUAAUUAUAUUGUCAUCAAUUUCCUUCCAGACAUGCACAAGGCACAUCUUACACUACCCAUCAUCAGGUCUUAAAGGAUAGGUUCACAUUUUUCAAGUCUGUCAUAAAACAAUACUGACACGUCCUCAUGUAUCUUGAAAAAAUGAUUGAUUGUUGUAAUUCUUCCCUCUGUCCACACUGGAAGAGAAGAGAUUCUAAAGCAAUUCCCAUGUAAGUGAUGGGGGACAAAAUCUAGCCAAAGCUCAUAUAAGGCUUCAGCAUUUUCAGUUAAACCAAUCAAGUGGGUUUAUUCAGAAUUAAUAUUUUUAGUGCAGUAUUCCCUCCAUCUGUUUCCAUAGACUGUUUCCUUGCUGAGCUGUGGCAGAAGGAUUGUCACACAAAGAGGGAAUUUUGUACUAACUGCUACUGAUGAAUUAUCAUAUUAUCAUCAGCUGAACUUUGGUAGUAAUUCCUGCACAGAAUGAGGACUUUGGAUUUGUCCGUCAUGUCUUGUAUUGGAAUAACAUCCGGAGGGGAUUUCUUCAUGGCCAGUGUAGACAGGAGGAACGGUUACAGCGAACAAUAACUCAAAGUACUGCAAUAUAAAAAUGGUCAUGGGAGAAUUCUAUUUGUCUGUCUGUCUGUCUGUCCAUCUUUGUGUAUAUCUGUGUAUCAAGGUUCACAGCGGCUUGCUUGAGAAGGGUGCCAUAAGAUUCGUUCAUGGGCAUAUUUUGCAGUUAUGUUACUUGUUUACUUGUUUGUAUGUUAAAAUAAAUCCU